CCUACGGGAGGCAGCAGUAGGGAAUAUUGCACAAUGGGGGAAACCCUGAUGCAGCAACGCCGCGUGAGCGAAGAAGUAUUUCGGUAUGUAAAGCUCUAUCGGCAGAGAAGAAAAUGACGGUACCUGACUAAGAAGCCCCGGCUAACUACGUGCCAGCAGCCGCGGUAAUACGUAGGGUGCAAGCGUUAUCCGGAUUUACUGGGUGUAAAGGGAGCGCAGGCGGGUUGGCAAGUCUGAUGUGAAAGGCUGGGGCUUAACCCCAGGACUGCAUUGGAAACUGUUAGGCUGGAGUGUCGGAGAGGUAAGUGGAAUUCCUGGUGUAGCGGUGAAAUGCGUAGAUAUUAGGAGGAAUACCAGUGGCGAAGGCGGCUUACUGGACGACAACUGACGCUGAGGCUCGAAAGCGUGGGGAGCAAACAGGAUUAGAUACCCGUGUAGUC
rnacentral:rRNA from 1 species